rnacentral:rRNA from 2 species
UUGAAAGGGAAACGAUUGAAGUCAGUCGUACCAGCGGGAAAUCAACCUUUCGUGUGGGGGUUUUGGAGUUUUGAAGAGUGUCAAAACCUUUGAGAUUUCAAAAUUUUCGCUCCUUUGGUGUACUUUCUCGUGGGUAGGUUAACAUCGAUUUUGAUCAUCAUAAAAAGAUUGGAGGAAUGUAGCUUCGAUCUUGUAUUGAAGUGUUAUAGCCUUUGGUAAAUGUGAUGAUUAGGAUCGAGGAUUGCAACGAAUACCCUUUUGGGCUAUCCGCCUGAUCUCUGAUACGUGGCCUUGGUAUCGAAAGCGUGCUUAUGGUAUUGAGGUAUUACGGUCAAAAGGUUAGAACGGAUUACAUUCGUUAAGGAUGUUGACGUA